UACAGAGGUCCCGAGCGUUGUUCGGAUUCACUGGGCGUAAAGGGUGCGUAGGUGGUGGGAUAAGUCGGAUGUGAAAUCUCGGAGCUUAACUCCGAAACUGCAUUGGAAACUGUCCUGCUAGAGGGUUGGAGGGGGACUGGAAUACUUGGGUGUAGCAGUGAAAUGCGUAGAUAUCAAGUGGAACACCGGUGGCGAAGGCGAGUCCCUGGACAACACCUGACACUGAGGCACGAAAGCUAGGGGAGCAAACAGG
rnacentral:rRNA from 1 species